AUAAUGAUACUUCCGUAAUUCGCGGCCCGGUCACAAAGCAGACGGGGUGGCUGAAGUGCCAAUGA
rnacentral:ncRNA from 1 species